rnacentral:rRNA from 1 species
GAUGAACGCUGGCGGCGUGCCUAAUACAUGCAAGUCGAGCGAACAGACGAGGAGCUUGCUCCUCUGACGUUAGCGGCGGACGGGUGAGUAACACGUGGAUAACCUACCUAUAAGACUGGGAUAACUUCGGGAAACCGGAGCUAAUACCGGAUAAUAUAUUUAACCGCAUGGUUCAAUAGUGAAAGACGGUCUUGCUGUCACUUAUAGAUGGAUCCGCGCCGCAUUAGCUAGUUGGUAAGGUAACGGCUUACCAAGGCAACGAUGCGUAGCCGACCUGAGAGGGUGAUCGGCCACACUGGAACUGAGACACGGUCCAGACUCCUACGGGAGGCAGCAGUAGGGAAUCUUCCGCAAUGGGCGAAAGCUUGACGGAGCAACGCCGCGUGAGUGAUGAAGGUCUUCGGAUCGUAAAACUCUGUUAUUAGGGAAGAACAAAUGUGUAAGUAACUAUGCACGUCUUGACGGUACCUAAUCAGAAAGCCACGGCUAACUACGUG